rnacentral:lncRNA from 1 species
AGUUACUGGAGCCAAACAGACGGACACAAGAUGCCCUGAAUGUGUCACCGAACAUUUCACCAAAGCGAAGUUUGAGUGUCAGGCGAUCUUUGAGAAUGGCACGACCGAAAUCAACUGAUUGUGAGCGAAAUUUAGUUGAAUAGUUAGGUAAAUAUAGAAAGCAUGAUAAUUCUUUCAACAGGCUCUAUGCAAGGUUUCACUAAGCACUGUCAAGCAGCAGAGGUUUAGUUUUAUUUUCUAGCUUCAUCAUCUCUGAAGUUGACUACCAUCUGCUGUCUUGUAAAAUUUACUGAAAGCAAUAUUGUCACAGUAUAGGGAGACAACCAGUAGGGCCACUUAGGGGAGAGAAAAGUGGGAAUUAUUUAAGCUAGGUCCCAGGUGUUUUACGCGGCCAAACUCAUUACUCUGUAAUACAAUUUUAUAGUGAACUGCUGCCAUUUACUGGCUGCCAAUAUGUAAAUUAGGUUGGCAGCCAGUAAACAAUGUGGACACUUUUUUACACUGAGUGGCCCUACUGUAGUUUUCAUAUACUGUGAUAUUGUUUACAUUCUAGUAUACUAAAUUGUAUAUUCAUUAAUAUACAAUUUAGUAUAUUAAUGAAUGACAAAAUGUCACUAAAAUCAUAUGGACAGUCCAGAAGACAACAUCAGGAAAUAAUGGAUGAUCCUAGGAUCUAGAAUUCCAGAGAAUUUUCAGACCUGGUUUAUAUAGCUGGCAGAAAAUUUUAGGGCAUUGCAUAAUGCUAACAGGCACAGAAAAUAAUUUAUUAGAAAGAACAUUAGUGAGCUCGGCAUGCAGAACGUUUGCCCCUAAAACCUAGGAUCCCAGAAACAAAAACAUUUCCUGCUAUGGAAGACAGACAGGGGGGACUGGAAACGCUAUAGUUUUAUACGUGGUAUCCGUGACAUGCCUGGUUGUUCAAGCUAAAAUACAGUGGCGUUACCCAUUUCCAGCCGACAAUUUGAAAUAUAUACGAAAUAAAGCAGAUUCCGAAUAUGUGCAUCUUGAAAAUCCAAAAUAUGGAUCGAAGUCGGAGUCAUCGUUGGUAAUUAUACUGAUAGGAUACUAUAAUAAACUAUAUCUACGUUUUGUGUAUAUCAGUUGAUCUACAGAAGGCUUUAAAACCCCCGAAAUGAUGCAUAUCUUUUCAUGAUUUUCAAGAUGCGUACAUGUAAAUUCGAAAUUUGUUUUGAUUUGUACAGUCACAUUAAUUUGCCUACUAAUAUAUGAUCAUUUGUAUAUAUUAUACAUGACGGUGUGGGGGGGGGGGCGACAGAGGCAACUGACCUCAGAGAAAAUUCAGUAAAGUACGUCGUCACCUUCGCUAUAUUUAGGACAUCGUUUUCGCGAAUGAAAUGUUGGGCUUUAACUAAGGUCUCAUAUACGCGAAGACGAGGCUGUAUAGGCAAUGUGAUGUACUUUCCGAAGGGUGUAUUUAGGAUUACUCACAUGCCUACUUGCCUAUUGUUUUAAAAAUCGUAGAAUACAAGAAACGUAGCUAUAAGCAUGCUAAUUUUGUACUCUUCCACUUUACGGAACAUACAGGGUGUAUAAAAAAAACUGAACCCUUUCAAAUUCAAAUUAGCUAUAACGUAUUGUAGUAAUUUGACAGCUCUAAUUGCUUUGAAUUAAUGGUUGGGUAAGAACACAAGGUCUUGUACUCAUGGGACAAAACUCUUAAAAACUUUUAAAUUUUCUAAUUUUUAUUUCUUUGAGUUUCGUCCCAUGAGUACAAGACCUUGUGUUCUUACCCCACCAUUAAUUCAAAGCAAUUAGAGCUGUCAAAUUACUACAAUACGUUAUAGCUAAUUUGAAUUUGAAAGGGUUCAGUUUUUUUAUACACCCUGUACUGUACAGGGUGUCCCAAAAAACCCGGAAACUAUUGAAAUCACUUAUUGUUAAAUUUGAAUGCCCUACCAAACAGCUGGACGUAAUGAUGCGUAAAAUAUUGACAAGGUGCAUGUAUUAGAAUUUAGUUAGGAAUAUCUCCUGAUAAAGUGCGCGAUUUUCUGCUCCUGGGAAUUAAAAACAACUUCUUAAACAGUUUCUUUAUGCAUAAAAUUUACUUAUGUCAAUCAUUUAUGCACUCGUGGGAACCAACAGAGCGCUAAGGCAUUCAAAUUCUAACAAUUAAAUUGUUAUUGGUGAUUUCAAUGGUUUUCGUUUUUUUUGGGACACCCUGUAGAAUACAGGGUGUCCCAAAAAACCCGAAAACUAUUGAAAUCACUUAUUGUUAAAUUUGAAUGCCCUACCAAACAGCUGGACGUAAUGAUGCGUAAAAUAUUGACAAGGUGCAUGUAUUAGAAUUUAGUUAGGAAUAUCUCCUGAUAAAGUGCGCGAUUUUCUGCUCCUGGGAAUUAAAAACAACUUCUUAAACAGUUUCUUUAUGCAUAAAAUUUACUUAUGUCAAUCAUUUAUGCACUCGUGGGAACCAACAGAGCGCUAAGGCAUUCAAAUUCUAACAAUUAAAUUGUUAUUGGUGAUUUCAAUGGUUUUCGUUUUUUUUGGGACACCCUGUAGAAUACAGGGUGUCCCAAAAAACCCGAAAACUAUUGAAAUCACUUAUUGUUAAAUUUGAAUGCCCUACCAAACAGCUGGACGUAAUGAUGCGUAAAAUAUUGACAAAGCGCAUGUAUUAGAAUUUAGUUAGGAAUAUCUCCUGGCAAAGUGCGCGAUUUUCUGCUCCUGGGAAUUAAAAACAGCUUCUUAAACAGUUUCCUUUAUGCAUAAAAUUUACUUAUGUCAAUCAUUUAUGCACUCGUGGGAACCAACAGAGUGCUAAGGCAUUCAAAUUCUAACAAUCAAAUUGUUAUUGGUGAUUUCAAUAGUUUUCGGUUUUUUUGGGACACCCUGUAGAAUUAAGAAAGGUAAUUUUGCAUUACAAUUAUCUACAUGAGUAAGUAUUUCAUAACUGAUUGUUUACUGUUCCGAAGUAACCAUGCAUGCAGGCAUGUGAGUUAUCGAAUGCUAAGUUACUUGGCCUAUAUUUUAUGCUUUGUUAAACUGAAACAAUAGUAUACUAGUCAUGUCAGUUAUGAAAUGUAAGUAACCUUUGUUCUUUUUUAUUAUAUAUAUGCAGGGCAUUUUUUAACUAUAUAUAACUACUGGGGCAUUUAUCCCUGUAAGCUCUUUGCUUGGCCCUGCAUGUGUAGUAAAGCAACAUUUUCAAAUGAACUGUGCGUUUUUUAUCACUAGUAAAAAGGCUGAACCUCGUGGAAGAGGUACGAUUAUUUCCUCACAAAAGACGAUGGAGUAUUUUCUCGCGUACACUUGACUGUGUGGGGAAAAGGCCUUCAUUAAGAUUUCUCAGUAGUUGUAAUUUCUUUAAAAAUGCCCUGAUCCUAUGCUUUCGUCAACUGGAACAAUAGUAACUAGUCAUGUAUGUUAUCUAAAGUUAUGAACUGGUUGUCAUCGUUGUUAAACAAGCGCUAUAUAUUCUUCCUAUAUUCUUGAGAAAAAUACCCAUGACUGAAAAAUAUUUACUUUUAGUUCGCACUUAGCAUUCGAUAUUUUAUUUUUAUAAAAUGUUAAAUAAUGAAGAUGUUUAAAAUAAAU